GUGCAAAGGUAGCAUAAUCAUUUGUUCUCUAAAUAGGGACUUGUAUGAAUGGCCACACGAGGGUUUAACUGUCUCUUACUCCCAAUCAGUGAAAUUGACCUUCCCGUGAAGAGGCGGGAAUACCACAAUAAGACGAGAAGACCCUAUGGAGCUUUAAUUAACUAACCCAAACUUAUGGAUACUAGAUACCUACAAGGCAUAACAUAACACCAUUAUUAUGAGUUAGCAAUUUAGGUUGGGGUGACCUCGGAAUAUAAAAAAACUCCCGAGUGAUUAAAAUUUAGACCCACAAGUCAAAAUACAACAUCACUUAUUGAUCCAAUAAUUUUUGAUCAACGGAACAAGUUACCCUAGGGAUAACAGCGUUAAUUUCAC
rnacentral:rRNA from 1 species